GCCAAUUAAAAAACUGUAGACAAGAGAUAUAGAUCCAUACAAAACUGUUGUAAGUAAAAAGAAAAAAAAAAAGAAGAAGAAGACAAAAGCAGUACAGAUCUAAAGCCGGGCAAAGGCGUGAGUUCUCAGGCAACCAUUAUGAAUGUUCCGAGAAAGAAGCCUUCAAUUUGUCGCUACUGACGCCAAUUCCAUAAAACCCUCUAAGAACUCUCCACCCCCACCUGUGAUUUUGGAUAUUGCUAGGGUUGAUGCGUUAGUGGG
rnacentral:lncRNA from 1 species